rnacentral:rRNA from 1 species
UACGUAGGACCCAAGCGUUAUCCGGAGUGACUGGGCGUAAAGAGUUGCGUAGGUGGCUCGUUAAGUAGAUAGUGAAAUCGUGUGGCUCAACCAUUACGGCUAUUAUCUAAACUGGCGGGCUCGAGAAUGGUAGAGGUAGCUGGAAUUUCUAGUGUAGGAGUGAAAUCCGUAGAUAUUAGAAGGAACACCAAUGGCGUAGGCAGGCUACUGGACCAUUUCUGACACUGAGGCACGAAAGCGUGGGGAGCGAACCGG